rnacentral:lncRNA from 1 species
AAAAAUAACAAAUAGAAAAGCUUUUGAGUAGAAUAAUGUUUAGAAAAAAAGUCUAAAAUGCACCGAUUAUAUUGCUGUUGCGACGUUUUCAACUAAUCAGAUUGUUCCUUUUGAGCUCAACCGUUCCAUCAUAAAUUAUUACAAAAAUAUUUUUAUUUUACUUUUCUCUCUAAUAAAGAUAUAUAUAAUUGAUUGAUUAUUGAUGAUAUAGUGUAAGUGUGAGGGUAGAAAAACGAAAAAACAAAAAAACAAAAAAAAAAGAGAGAGAAUAAGUUAAGU